rnacentral:lncRNA from 1 species
GUGGAGGCCGCUGAAGACCAGGAGUAGUUAGGAGGUUCCCAGGCAGGAGGCCUCGCCUCGUUUGAUCGUUGUAUCUUUUGUUCUAGCCUUCUCCAAGGCACCUCAUGUUAAUGUUUGUACUCAGAUAUUGUUGCUUCCGCUGACUCAUGUGUUUAUCGAGCUUCUGUAUUCUAGUCCUCGAGGGCCCUGGCUUGUAAUAUGA